GCCCCAGACUGAUCGCACAAAAACGAUCACGUCGCCAGCUUUCCUAGUUGUCCACUAGGCACAAGAGUGGAUUCGAAAUAUCUUGGUAAGCAAGGUUAAGUAGGUCAGGCUUCAGGUCACGUGCCGGGCCACUAGAUCGGAUUUAUCUCGGGAAGUGGUAGCCCCAGCAGAAGUUAGCUAUCCCGUUGUGAAUGUCAUCAGCCGCCCCAUCGUACUGUACAUACUAAUCACAGAAUGUCAAGAAAAGUGACAAAAAUACUCUCUAAAAUUAAAAAGUCAACUAGUAGUUCUUAGAAGUGUUGGGUAAAAUAUUAAAAACGAAAAAACCAAAAAUGAAUUUUCGACACCCUUAGAAUUUGGAAAAAUGCAAACCUUAACUACAUCAUUCGAUAGAUCUGAUUUCCAACCAAUCGAAUGGUAGUGCUAGGUUUGACAUAGCCUACCUGUGCAGCCCAAAUUCACCGGUUGAAGUUUCGCCGCUUACAUAACCGAUUACCUAACCGCUUACAUAACCCGCUUACAUAACUGAUUACCUAACCGAUUACAUAACUGAUUACCUAACCGAUUACAUAACUGAUUACAUAACCGCUUACAUAACCUCUGACCAAGCCGAUUACAUAACCGAUUACAUAACCCGCUUACAUAACCUCUGACCAAGCCGAUUACAUAACCCGAUUACAUAACCGCUUACCAUAACCUCUGACCAAGCCGAUUACAUAACCUCGACCAAGCCGAUUACAUAACCGCUUACAUAACCUCUGACCAAGCCGACCAUCCAAAUGUCAUUUUGGUGUAUUCUAAUGUUGGGGUUCUGAAACUCCGGAUCAGGGCCUGAACCGGUGAAAUCAGGGAGUUCCCCGCCUGGGAUUUGCAAGAUCGCCUUCCAGAAGAACGGUCUCCUUGUAGCAGCAGGAAUUGCCGCCCAGUAUCCGUCGCGACGCAAUCCGCGAAUACAAACCACCAUCCAGCGUGUGAAAAUUUGCAAGUCCAUAUCGCCCAUGUUGU
rnacentral:rRNA from 1 species